CUCUCUCUCUCUUCGUUCUUAGCUCGGCUCUGCGCAUCUGAAGGGGCUUGAUCAGGUUUUGGUGUCGCUGGGUUUUGAAUAAUCGUGCUAGACCAAUCGUUGGUGAUCUGCUACAAGUAUAAUCUAAAGAACCAACGCCUACUUUCGGGAAGCAUCGAUGAAGACUGACCUCCGCUGCUGCGUUGUUGCAACCUCUCUGACGUCAACAUGAAUCCAAACAGCUGCGAGAACAAAAUGGAUGUCUUCAUUCAUGAAAUGGAACCUUAAAAAUCAGAAUACAAGAUCAGAGUUCGUAUAUCGAGAGUGUGGAGAGCAAAGCAAUAUAAUACUAACAAGAAUGAUGGUCUCCACUCUGUCUUGAUUGAUGAAAAGGGUGACGCUAUUCAAUUAUUCAUGCAAUUAUCAGUGAAUCUGACUACCCUUUAGUUCACAAAAAAAAUACAACAAGGCAAGGUUUAUGACAUUCACAAUUUCUUUACACGAAAAAACCAGGAAAACUACAAGAUUCUUGAUCAUCGGAGUCAAGUCCGUUUCAAUGCACUGACUGUCUUUGAAGCAGUUGAAGGAAACUGCCCAAAAAUUCCAGAGCAUCGAUUCUAUUUAGUAGAAUUUGAUCAACUCGAAGCACGCAUGAAUGAUCAUACAAUUCUAACAGAUGUGUAUGGCUGUUUGAAGUCGAUUGUACCACCACAUGAGACAACUGUGAACUGUCAAGGAUAGAGAGUCAAAAUGUGAAAGACAAGAGUCAAAAUGUGAAAUCCAUUUGCAGAACUUAAGAAGAGAGGACUUGAGAAUUACACUCUGGGGCAACACUGCUAGACAAGUCGACAUGGAAACAAUUAGAAAAGCUUCUCCACCAGUGCUGAUGGCAUUAACCAGUUUAAAAAUCAAAGAGUACUUGAACAAACCUGCCCCAUCAAAUACAAGCAACACCUGUAUUUUCAUCAAUCCAAAGAUCCCAGAAACAAACAAGCACAGGCUUCAGUUCUCAAAACUGGUUGAUAGAGUGCAAAUACUUCCAACACCAUUCAAACAACCAACAUCAGAAGAAAUCUAGGAAACCAAUAUGAAAACAGUGACUCGAUUGAACAUAUUGGAUCCAUUGUCAUACAAGGAACAAAUGGUGUAUUGCAAUGCUUCAAUUUCCAGAUUUGCAACACACGACGGUUGGUGGUAUAAAGCCUCGCUGUUAUCGAGAAUUAAGAGAACAAGAACAUGACAAUCAACUUGGCUGCUCACAUCAUGGGAAGCAAGAAAUUCUUGUUUCAGAGUCUACAUGACUAUCACAGAUGGUCAAAAUGAGGCAACGGUUAUCAUAAUGGGAAAAUAAGCAGAGAAACUGUUUGGAAGUAAUUGCAAAGAUUUGGUCAGCAAAAGAUCCUACCCAACAGAAGCAACAUUACCAGAGGAGAUGGAGAAAACAAGAGGCUAAAAAUUCUUUUUCAGCUCAAGAUAACGGAAGAUAGUGAGCUAUUAAUCAAAGCAGUCUUCCCACAUAUGGAAUCCUCUGUACCACCUUUUGAAAACGACCCAGCAACUAUGACUCCAGAUCCUGUUCCUUUUCAAAGAAAGAGAGUUGCUGAGACAAGUAAAAGAGGAUUAUUCAUAUCUGAACCAGACAAGAAAUCUAGAAGUGAGAGAGAAGCAGAGGAAGAUGAAACCACAUCGUCAUCAGCUGAAAACAAAAAGACUGUUUAAUGCAGGAUAACUGUGGUGUACAGUGUUUUGAUGAAGUAAUCGAUUUUGUGCAGCUGCAAUCACAAGUACAGUUGGAACCACCACUGUUUUUGAACAAGCUCCACAAUCUCACAAGAUUGCAGCAACAAUCUUUUUGUAAAUCUGCAACUAUAAUAGCUAAUCUGACUAUGCAGCUAGCUUUUUUGUAAAGUUGCAGCUGAAAUGCCUAACGUUAUUGUGCAUCAAGCAAUUUUUGGAUGACUUCAAAGGAAAUCAAUUGUGUAACAAAUGUAGAAUGUACAUGUACUCUUUUAUCAAAUGAAUAUAAUGUAACAAUUCUCCCUCUAUAUGUCACUGUUUUCUUUAUUACUA